GCGCGAAAACUUUACAAUGCUGGCAACAGCGAUAAGGGAACCUCGAGUGCCAGGUUACAAAUCUGGCUGUCGAGAUGCCUAAAAAGCAUUUCAUAGCAAGGGUCGGGCAAGACCGGUGCCAGCCGCCGCGGUAACACCGGCGGCUCGAGUGGUAACCGUUAUUAUUGGGUCUAAAGGGUCUGUAGCCGGCCGGAUAAGUCUCUUGGGAAAUCUGGCAGCUCAACUGUCAGGCUUUCAGGAGAUACUGUCUGGCUCGAGGCCGGGAGAGGUGAGAGGUACUUCAGGGGUAGGGGUGAAAUCUUGUAAUCCUUGAAGGACCACCAGUGGCGAAGGCGUCUCACCAGAACGGACCUGACGGCAAGGGACGAAAGCUAGGGGCACGAACCG
rnacentral:rRNA from 1 species